rnacentral:rRNA from 1 species
UACGUAGGGUGCAAGCGUUGUCCGGAAUUAUUGGGCGUAAAGAGCUCGUAGGCGGUUUGUCGCGUCUGCUGUGAAAACCCGAGGCUCAACCUCGGGCCUGCAGUGGGUACGGGCAGACUAGAGUGCGGUAGGGGAGAUUGGAAUUCCUGGUGUAGCGGUGGAAUGCGCAGAUAUCAGGAGGAACACCGGUGGCGAAGGCGGCUCUCUGGGCCUUUCCUGACGCUGAGACGCGAAAGCGUGGGGAGCGAACCGG